rnacentral:lncRNA from 1 species
CAGUUCUGGAGGCUGGGAUAUCCAAACUCAUGGUGCCGGCAGAUUCGUGUCUGGUGAGGACUGUUUUCUCUGCUUCAAGAUGGAGCCCUGUUGCUGCAUCUUUUCUAGGAAGAUGAACACUGUCCUCCUAUGGUGGAACAGAAGGGAAAAAGGCAUGAACGGCUCCCUUGUGCCUCUCAUAUAAGAUGUAUUAAAAUGCCUUCUGUAAUCUC